rnacentral:rRNA from 1 species
UACGGGGGGGCAAGCGUUGUUCGGAAUUACUGGGCGUAAAGGGCUCGUAGGCGGCCAACUAAGUCAGACGUGAAAUCCCCAGGCUCAACCUGGGAACUGCGUCUGAUACUGGAUGGCUUGAAUCCGGGAGAGGGAUGCAGAAUUCCAGGUGUAGCGGUGAAAUGCGCAGAUAUCAGGAGGAACACCGGUGGCGAAGGCGGUUCUCUGGGCAUUACCUGACGCUGGAGGAGCGAAAGCGUGGGGAGCAAACAGG